rnacentral:tRNA from 1 species
GGUAGGUCUUGCGUGGUGGUCUGCGUCUCGCUCUUCAAAAGCGAAGAAGUCUGUAUAACAGUCUUGGGGUUCAAUCCCUCUGCCUACCGCCA